GAUGAAGAACGUAGCGAAAUGCGAUAAGUAAUGUGAAUUGCAGUAUUCAGUGAAUCAUCGAAUCUUUGAACGCACAUUGCGCCCGCCAGCAUUCUGGCGGGCAUGCCUGUUCGAGCGUCAUUUCAACCCUCAAGCUCUGCUUGGUGUUGGGGCCCUACGGUUGACGUAGGCCCUUAAAGGUAGUGGCGGACCCUCUCGGAGCCUCCUUUGCGUAGUAACUAACGUCUCGCACUGGGAUUCGGAGGGACUCUUGCCGUAAAACCCCCAAAUUUUUAAAGGUUGACCUCGGAUCAGGUAGGAAUACCCGCUGAACUUAAGCAUAUCAAUAAGCGGAGGA
rnacentral:misc_RNA from 1 species